UGCCACCAUGUAAGAAGUGCCUUUCACUUCCUGCCAUGAAGCCCCCCCAGCCAUGUGGAACUGAUACUCCAUGGUUCUCCUACCACCAGAUGCUACUGAGGCUAAACUGACUGGACUGAGGAAAAAUAUCUGUGGGGAAAACUGUCUUUCAGAAUCCAACUUUGAACCAGAGAAAUCCAUUCUCUUGAGGCUGUCUGCUGUGGAGAAGUUGGCCUCACCAAUCUGCCUUUGGAAUUCAAGUUAUACAGGAUCUGCAAGGCUACCUGUGAAUGAAUGGUAGUUGGUCACUACUUGCAAGUUUUUCAGGAGCUCCUGAAAGAUUACUGCAUAAACAAAUGAGGAUGGAGAUCAGACCUCUGGCUACUGUUGCUGCCACCACCACAGCCACCACCUUCACCCUCAUGAACCCCCUAUUUACUGAACACUCUCUAUAUGCCAGAUGCAAAAUUGGCUACCACAUUGGAAACUGAUAUUGAAUUUCUCAACGAGUCCAACAGAGUCAGUUUUCCUCCAACACUGAAACAGACCUUGCUUUCUUCAGUUGAGCAACAACUAAAGAUUAUGGACCCAGCUCAUGUGGAGGUGCCAUAUUGCAUAAACAGUGCCUACAGUGAGCCCUCGCAUUCACACUCAGCAUGAUGUGAUUACAACAGUAUGUAUUUCCAUAGGGACUAAAUCAUGCUUAGGCAGAGCAGUUUUACAUCUUUCUCAUGCCCAUUCACUUUAGGGCAUGUGCUUGUUGGGUGGCAUUGUCAGCAUUGUUUAAUUAUUUACC
rnacentral:lncRNA from 1 species